rnacentral:misc_RNA from 1 species
AGAAAGUCUUUCUGCUAUGACCUGAAAAAUGAUUUUAUAAUUGUAAGAAAUGAUGCAAAAUAUUAUAAAUAACAGAAACCAAAUUAUUUACUACCAUAGAAAAAGCACUAUGCGAAAAAGCGAGGCAGCAAGUAUUAUAAUUUAUAACAGGCUUUCAGGCAUGUAUCAGAAAUAACAGAGCAGUUGGAGUAAAAUUUUAUGAUAAAAUGCAAGUUCACCUGGUUUCUUGAAUCCAAGAGUACAUCCAAACUGAGGUAAAGUUGAUGGUAUUGUGCACUUCGUUUCCAAAUGAAGCAUAUGCAUAUGAAACACAAUAAAUUGCUACAGAAAAAAAAAUAGCAGUAAUAGUUUCUCCUUCCUCCUCUACUUAUUCCCUUCACGCCACAGAAAAGCUACUUAAUGAUUGAUUUCUUUGAAAUAAAGAUUGUGUCAUUCACGUAAUCACGUGAAAGGAUAACCUGUUAAUAAGCUUAAAAAAUUGGAUGCCUCGUGCCUUUGGAAGCUAAUGAUUUCAGGAUCACAAGUUAAGAUCACAACCAUUCAGAAUUUGAUUCCUUGAAUCAAAAU